GUGCAAUUGGCUUCUCAUUCGCAACUAUGUGUACAAACGUUCGUGUUGCCUAUUAUACUGAUUACCAUGUUUCUAUAUAGGUAAUUUCAAGAUUUCAACCGAUGCUAAUUUACAUAGACGAUUGUGCCCUCGUCAAGGAGAUAAUUUUGUUGCUUUUCCUAUAAUUUUUACUCCAAAAUCAAGGUACUGGUGCACGUUAUGGUAAAGUAAUUGCGUAAUUACAUCGCAGAACUCGACAUACCUUCAGGCACGACAUUUUACUGCUGGAAAUAUACGUACACACACAAACAUACAGACACACAAUGAAGGUGUGAUGGGGAGAUAUAAUCAAAAAGAAGUUUCAGCGAAUCGAAGGUCAAAAACGAAAUUACACAAGAAGAUAAAAUCUAUCAGAAUUGAGAGGAUAAAAUUCGUCUUUGAAAUUUGAGUCCCAAUUUCUCAAGUAUUAAUAGAAGUCUUAUUAAUCAGUUUUGAUAAAGAAAUAGGUACUAAAUUGUCUGACUAAAAUUACUCCUUACUACUGAUAAAAAAAUGAAAUACUAUAAAAAUAAAAGAAUUGACAAAUGUCUGACCAAAUUUCGAGUUAUACUACUGAAAAAAAAUAUCAAUUUGACUUUCGAUGUACUGACAGAGAAAUAAUCAGAUCAUUAUGGAUUAUCAUUCUAUGGAAAAUAAAAAUAUACACUAAAUACAAUAAAUAAAAAUUAACAUCGUCUGACUAGUACUAAUUUUUUUACUACUCGAAAAUAAAAAUAAAAAUUAGUCUGACUUGUACUGAUUUUCUACUACUGAAAAAUAAAAAUUUUAAAAUAAAAAGAGUCUGACUAGUACUGAUUUUGUACUACUGGAAAAUAACAAAAAUAGUCUAAAAAAUAGUUUCAGUCAAAGUAGAACGUCUGACUAAUUGAGUCUUAUCACUGAAAAAUAGAAAUUAACACUGUCUGACUAAUGCUGACUGUCACUACUGAAAAAUAAAAUUAAUAACAUCGUCUGACUAAUACUGACCUUUACUACUGAAAAAUAAAAAUUAACAUUGUCUGACUAAUGAUGACUGUUAAUACUGAAAAAUAAAAAUUAAUAACAUCGUCUGACUAAUACUGAUCUUUACUACUGGAAAAUAAAAAUUAAUAUUGUCCGACAAAUACUUUUACUACUGGAAAAUAAAAAUUAACUCUGUCUGGCUUAUACUGACUUUUACUACUGAAAAAUAAAAAAGUCUGACUAGUACUGAUUUUGUACUAAAGGAAAAUAAAAAUUAUCUUUGUCUGGCUUAUACUGACUUUUACUACUGGAAAAUAAAAAAAGUUCUGUACUACUUUAAAAUAAAAAACAUAGUCUAAAAAAUAGUUUCAGUCAAACCAGAACGUCUGACUAAUUGAGUCUUAUCACUAAAAAAUAGAAAUUAACAUUGUCUGACUAAUGCUGACUGUUACUACUGAAAAAUAAAAAUUAAUACCAUCGUCUGACUAAUAUUGGCUUUUACUACUGGAAAAUAAAAAUUAACAAUCUCGUCUGAUUUAUUUUGAGGUUUGCCACUAACAAAUAGAAUAAAUUAAAAGAAAAUAAAACAGGAAAGAUAAAAACCAGUCUGACUACUAUUGACCUAUACUACUGAAAAAUAAAAAUAAAAAAAGUCUAACUAGUACUGAGUUUUGUCACUAGGGAAAAUAAUAAAAUAACAAUGAAAAAUAGUAAGUAAAUAAAAUAAAAACAGUGGUCUGACUAACAUUGAGUUUUACUACUUAAAAAUAAAAAUUAACAACCCCGUCUAAUUUUUGGUAUUACUAAUGAAAAAUAAAAAUUAACAUCUUGUGACAAAUAGUGAGUUUUGUCACUGAGAUAUAAAAAACAUUAAAAAAUAAAACUUGGAAAAAUAAAAAAACAGUCUGACUGACACUGACUUUUACUACUGAAAAAUAAAAAUUAUCAACAUCGUCUGACUAGUACUGACUCGUACUACUGAAAUACAAUAUUUAACAACAACGUCUGAUUAAUACUAAAUUUUACUACUGAGAAAUAAAAAAAAUAGUAACAUCGUCUGACUAGAACUAACUUUUUCCACUGAAAAAUACAAUAAAUAACAAUAAAAAUCAAAUUUCAAUGGAAAAUAAUAAAUAAACUCACAUUGUCUGACUAAAACAGAGUUUUACCACUGAUCGGAAAUUGUCUGACCCUAAGCAAUUCAUUCUACUUGGAUUAAAAUUAUAACAAUAGGAAAAUUUGCCUGACUAAAAUUAAUAUCGCUACUGUCAUAAAACUUUACGACUAGCAAUGCACUUUACUACUGACAUUAAGGAAAGUAAAAAAUUGUCUGACGAAAACUGACUUAUGCCACUUAAACAAAUUUUAUUACCCGAACUGUCUUUUACUAUUUAUACCAAAAGUUUCACUAUAGAAGAACGUCUGACUGAAAACUGACUUUUACUACUGAUUACGAUUUUUAUUUUUUACUAUCUGGUAUUAAUUUUGUAUUUUUCUACUUUAUAGCUUUGAAGAAAUUUUUAUAGUCUAACUAAAAAUGUCCUUUUCUCCUGAAAUUUUUUUUAUUUUACUUUUCAUGUUUAAAUUCGAGUAAUUUACAGGGUUUACCCAGAAAAAAAAUAAAAGUUUCUUCACAAAACUUUUCUUUACUAGUAACAUAAAACUGUCUGAC